rnacentral:rRNA from 1 species
UGGGGAAUAUUGCACAAUGGGCGCAAGCCUGAUGCAGCCAUGCCGCGUGUGUGAAGAAGGCCUUCGGGUUGUAAAGCACUUUCAGCGGGGAGGAAGGCGUUAAGGUUAAUAACCUUGGCGAUUGACGUUACCCGCAGAAGAAGCACCGGCUAACUACGUGCCAGCAGCCGCGGUAAUACGUAGGUGGAAAGCGUUGUCCGGAUUUAUUGGGCGUAAAGCGAGCGCAGGCGGUUUCUUAAGUCUGAUGUGAAAGCCCCCGGCUCAACCGGGGAGGGUCAUUGUAAACUGGGAGACUUGAGUGCAGAGGAGGAGAGUGGAAUUCCAUGUGUAGCGGUGAAAUGCGUAGCUAUAUGGAGGAACACCAGUGGCGAAGGCGGCUCUCUGGUCUGUAACUGACGCUGAGGCUCGAAAGCGUGGGGAGCAAACAGG